rnacentral:rRNA from 1 species
AAGGCGUGCGGCGGAUGCCUAGGCACUGGCUGGCGACGAAGGGCGCGGAAGGCCGCGAUAGGCCGCGGGGAGCCGUCUUCAGGCUUCGAUCCGCGGGUGCCCGAAUGGGGAAACCCGGCGCGAUAUGUCGCGUCGCCGGACGGGGGAACACAUGCCCCGCCGGAGCGAACCCCGGGAACUGAAACAUCUAAGUACCGGGAGGAGAAGAAAGAGAAUCGAUUCCGUCAGUAGUGGCGAGCGAAAGCGGAGGAGCCCAAAUGGGGAGGAAUUGCGCGAUUCGGAGGGGAACGGCCUGGGAGGGCCGGCCACAGAGGGCGACAGCCCCGUACCCCGAGAAGGACGCAUGUCUCCCCGAGAGAGUACGCCGGGUCACGAGAAACCCCGGCGGAAGACGGCGGGACCACCCGCCAAGGCUAAACACAGACCAGUGACCGAUAGCGAACAAGUACCGUGAGGGAAAGGUGAAAAGAACCCCGGGAGGGGGAUGAAAAGAUCCUGAAACCGCAUGCCGGCGACCGGACCGAGGGCGUCGAAGCCUGAGGUCGUGCCUAUUGAAGAAUGAGCCUGCGAGUUGUCGAUGCCAGCAAGGCUAAGCGGAAGACGCGGAGCCGCAGGGAAACCGAGCCCGAACAGGGCGCGAGUUGGCACCGGCAGACCCGAAACCCGGCGAUCUAGCCAUGGCCAGGAUGAAAGAGGGGCGAAACCCUCCGGAGGUCCGAACCGACGUUCGUUGAAAAGACCGCGGAUGAGCCGUGGCUCGUGGUGAAAUUCCAAUCGAGCCGGGUUAUAGCUGGUUCUCCCCGAAAUAGCUCUUGGGCUAGCCUCGGGGCUGUGCGCCGACGGAGGUAGAGCCACCGAUGGGGCGAGGGGCGCGUCGAACGCCUUCGAGCCCCGCCGAACUCCGAAUGCCGCCGGCGAAGCCCCGGGAGUCGGUCUGCGGGAGAUAAGUUCCGUGGACGAGAGGGAAAGAGCCCGGACCGCCGAUUAAGGCCCCAAAGUGCGCGCCGAGUGCUGAGAAGGAGGUGGGGCGGCUCAAACAGCCAGGAUGUUGGCUCAGAGGCAGCCAUCAUUCAAAGAAUGCGUAACAGCUCACUGGUCAAGCCGCCCCGCGCCGACAAUUUACCGGGGCUAAAGCGCGCCGCCGAAAUCGCGGGAUCCGUAGGAUCGGUAGGGGAGCGUCGCCUGUGCGGCGAAGCGGGACCGCGAGGGCCCGUGGAGCGCAGGCGAGCGAGAAUGCAGGCGUUAGUAGCGCCGGGGGGUGGGAAUCCCCCCAGCCGGAUGGCCGAGGUCUCCCGGGCGAGGUUCGUCCUCCCGGGGUCAGCCGGGGCCUAAGACGAGGCCGAGAGGCGCAGUCGAUGGGAAUGCGGCGAAGAUUCCGCAGCCCGUCCGCGUGGCGAUGACCGUGACGGGGGUGGCAAGGCAGCCCGGGCGAUCGGAAGAGCCCGGCGGCCGGCGCGCAGGGGCGGGGGAGCCAAAGCUCUUCCCCGCAUGCCCCAGGGCCGGACGGGAGGAAAGCGGGAGACCGCGAGUACGAAGGCGCCGGGGACACCCUCCAGGAAAAGCGGCUAGCGUCAGAGCGCGGGCGGCCCGUACCAAGAACGGACACACGUGGCCUGGGCGAGAAGCCCGAGGCUAGCGAGACAACUGUUGCUAAGGAACUCUGCAAGACUGCUUCGCAAGCUAGCGAGAAGAAGCGCCCGGGGGCGAACAGCCCCGCGGGCCGCAGCGAAGAGGCAGGGGUGACUGUUUACCAAAAACACAGCUCUGUGCGAAGCCGCAAGGCGACGUAUACGGGGUGAUGCCUGCCCGGUGCUGGAAGGUUAAGGGGAGGGGUCAGGCCGCAAGGCCGAAGCCCCGAGCCGAAGCCCCAGUGAACGGCGGCCGUAACUAUAACGGUCCUAAGGUAGCGAAAUUCCUUGUCAGGUAAGUUCUGACCCGCAUGAAAGGCGUAAUGAUUUGGGCACUGUCUCGACAGCCCGCCCGGCGAAAUUGUAGUACCGGUGAAGAUGCCGGUUACCCGCGACUAGACGGAAAGACCCCAUGGAGCUUUACUGUAGCCUAAUAUUGGGUUUCGAUGUUGCAUGCACAGGAUAGAUGGGACACAGGGAAACAAGUGCUUUGGCAUUUGUGGAGUGGCCGUUGGGAUACCAUCCUUGCGAUAUUGGAAUUCUAACCUGCGCCUUUGAAUCAAGGCGGGGGACAUUGUUAGGUGGGCAGUUUGACUGGGGCGGUCGCCUCCUAAAGAGUAACGGAGGCGUUCAAAGGUUCGCUCAGCUUGAACGGAAAUCAAGCAAAAGAGUGCAAACGCAGAAGCGAGCCUAACUGCGAGACUGACGGGUCGAGCAGUAACGAAAGUUGGAGUUAGUGAUCCGGUGGUAUGUGAGUGGAAAUGCCAUCGCUCAACGGAUAAAAGUUACCCUGGGGAUAACAGGCUGAUCUCCCCCAAGAGUCCACAUCGACGGGGAGGUUUGGCACCUUGAUGUCGGCUCGUCGCAUCCUGGAGCGGUAGUACGUUCCAAGGGUUGGGCUGUUCGCCCAUUAAAGCGGCACGCGAGCUGGGUUCAGAACGU